rnacentral:lncRNA from 1 species
GCAUACAGAUAGUUCCAUUUUAGUUAUGGAUGUCAGUUGGGGUUUUGGAUUUGAUCACUCUGCCUCAACUAAUGUUUGAUCUAAUUUAGCAGUCUGCAAUAUAUUUUGUUGUUUUAUUUCAUUCCACAUUUCUGCUACUGCUUAUAUAUAUAUAUGUGUGUGUGUGCGUGCGCACGCGUGCGUGUGUGUAAUGGAGGAGACUAGGCAAUGAUAGAACUUUUAAGGAAGGUAUUUAGUUGUCAUCUUUAAGCCUUGGUGAUUAAUGAGGGCAGGACUCGCUCGCGCGUGCGUGUGUGUAAUGGAGGAGACUAGGCAAUGAUAGAACUUUUAAGGAAGGUAUUUAGUUGUCAUCUUUAAGCCUUGGUGAUUAAUGAGGGC